rnacentral:rRNA from 1 species
UACGUAGGGUGCAAGCGUUAAUCGGAAUUACUGGGCGUAAAGCGUGCGCAGGCGGUUAUGUAAGACAGAUGUGAAAUCCCCGGGCUCAACCUGGGAACUGCAUUUGUGACUGCAUAGCUAGAGUACGGUAGAGGGGGAUGGAAUUCCGCGUGUAGCAGUGAAAUGCGUAGAUAUGCGGAGGAACACCGAUGGCGAAGGCAAUCCCCUGGGCCUGUAACUGACGCUCAUGACACGAAAGCCGUGGGGAGCAAACAGG